rnacentral:misc_RNA from 1 species
GAUGAAGAACGCAGCGAAAUGCGAUAAGUAGUGUGAAUUGCAGAACUCAGUGAAUCAUCGAAUCUUUGAACGCACAUUGCGCCCUUUGGUAUUCCAAAGGGCAUGCCUGUUCGAGCGUCAUUUGUACCCUCAAGCUUUGCUUGGUGUUGGGCGUCUUGUCUCUAGCUUUGCUGGAGACUCGCCUUAAAGUAAUUGGCAGCCGGCCUACUGGUUUCGGAGCGCAGCACAAGUCGCACUCUCUAUCAGCAAAGGUCUAGCAUCCAUUAAGCCUUUUUUUCAACUUUUGACCUCGGAUCAGGUAGGGAUACCCGCUGAACUUAAGCAUAUCAAUAAGCGGAGGA